AGUAGCGAAGUUCCUGAUGUCACACUGCCAAGAAAAGCUUCUAGUGAGAAAGUAACUGCCCGUACCGCAAACCGACACAGGUAGUUGAGGAGAGAAUCCUAAGGUGUGCGAGAGAACUCUCGUUAAGGAACUCGGCAAAAUGACCCCGUAACUUCGGGAGAAGGGGUGCUGACCGCAAGGUCAGCCGCAGUGAAUAGGCCCAAGCGACUGUUUAUCAAAAACACAGGUCUCUGCAAAAUCGAAAGAUGACGUAUAGGGGCUGACGCCUGCCCGGUGCUGGAAGGUUAAGAGGAGAGGUUAGCGUAAGCGAAGCUUUGAAUUGAAGCCCCAGUAAACGGCGGCCGUAACAAUAACGGUCCUAAGGUAGCGAAAUUCCUCGUCGGGUAAGUUCCGACCCGCACGAAAGGCGUAACGAUUUGGGCACUGUCUCAACGAGAGACUCGGUGAAAUUAUAGUACCAGUGAAGAUGCUGGUUACCCGCGACAGGACGGAAAGACCCCAUGGAGCUUUACUGCAGUUUGAUAUUGCGUGUUUGUAUCACAUGUACAGGAUAGGUAGGAGCCGAAGAUACCGGGACGCCAGUCUCGGAGGAGGCAACGGUGGGAUACUACCCUUGUGAUAUGACCACUCUAACCCGCUGCUCUUAGCGAGCAGGGAGACAGUGUCAGACGGGCAGUUUGACUGGGGCGGUCGCCUCCAAAAAUGUAACGGAGGCGCCCAAAGGUUCCCUCAGAAUGGUUAGAAAUCAUUCGUAGAGUGUAAAGGCAGAAGGGAGCUUGACUGCGAGACCUACAAGUCGAGCAGGGACGAAAGUCGGGCUUAGUGAUCCGGUGGUUCCGCAUGGAAGGGCCAUCGCUCAACGGAUAAAAGCUACCCUGGGGAUAACAGGCUUAUCUCCCCCAAGAGUUCACAUCGACGGGGAGGUUUGGCACCUCGAUGUCGGCUCAUCGCAUCCUGGGGCUGUAGUCGGUCCCAAGGGUUGGGCUGUUCGCCCAUUAAAGCGGUACGCGAGCUGGGUUCAGAACGUCGUGAGACAGUUCGGUCCCUAUCCGUCGCGGGCGUUGGAAAUUUGAGAGGAGCUGUCCUUAGUACGAGAGGACCGGGAUGGACACACCGCUGGUGUACCAGUUGUUCUGCCAAGAGCAUCGCUGGGUAGCUAUGUGUGGACGGGAUAAACGCUGAAAGCAUCUAAGCGUGAAGCCCCCCUCAAGAUGAGAUUUCCCAUCACUUUAAGUGAGUAAGACCCCUGAGAGAUGAUCAGGUAGAUAGGCUGGGAGUGGAAGUACAGCGAUGUAUGGAGCGGACCAAUAUUAAUCGGUCGAGGACUUAACCU
rnacentral:rRNA from 1 species